UAACCACAAGUCCAGGAUGUAUGGAAGAAAA
rnacentral:piRNA from 1 species